rnacentral:rRNA from 1 species
CGGUAAUACGGAGGAUCCAAGCGUUAUCCGGAAUCAUUGGGUUUAAAGGGUCCGUAGGCGGUCAGAUAAGUCAGUGGUGAAAGCCCAUCGCUCAACGGUGGAACGGCCAUUGAUACUGUCUGACUUGAAUUAUUAGGAAGUAACUAGAAUAUGUAGUGUAGCGGUGAAAUGCUUAGAGAUUACAUGGAAUACCAAUUGCGAAGGCAGGUUACUACUAAUUGAUUGACGCUGAUGGACGAAAGCGUGGGUAGCGAACAGGAUUAGAUACCCUGGUAGUCCACGCCGUAAACGAUGGAUACUAGCUGUUGGGAGCAAUCUCUGUGGCUAAGCGAAAGUGAUAAGUAUCCCACCUGGGGAGUACGAACGCAAGUUUGAA